rnacentral:rRNA from 1 species
UACGUAGGUGGCAAGCGUUGUCCGGAUUUACUGGGCGUAAAGAGCGCGCAGGCGGUCGUUCAAGUCGCGUGUGAAAGCCCCCGGCUCAACUGGGGAGGGUCACGCGAUACUGAUCGACUCGAAGGCAGGAGAGGGUAGUGGAAUUCCCGGUGUAGUUGUGAAAUGCGUAGAUAUCGGGAGGAACACCAGUGGCGAAGGCGACUACCUGGCCUGUUCUUGACGCUGAGGCGCGAAAGCCAGGGGAGCAAACGGG